CAGACAACAGGAGAACAGACAACAGCAGAACCAAAAAAUGCUCCACCAUUGCCCAUGUCAAAGAGAAGAAAUAAGAAGACUGACGAAGAAAAGCCAUGUAAAAAGGAGGAAUUGGACUGAGCCAGAGAGAAAACAAUGAUAAACAUUGGAGCAUCAUGUUGCGGGAGCUGUGGGAUUUGCAAGGACUCGGCAGCUUUUCUGCUGGACAGAGCCAUUAUGUGCGUGCGGUGCCUGGAGACACGAGUGCCUCUCCAUGAACAAGGGGCUUGUUGUGAACAGAGGCCAGCAGCACUGAAGCGCCUGCUCACCUGUUCAGCCCCGGCAGCCAACUCCGCUCUGCUCUGCCCUGCCAAGCUACACUGCAACCAGCUGGUAGCAAUCUUCAAUUACAACACCUGAGCCGCAUUAACUCGUCAGCCUCGACCCUGAAAGCCAGCAGGUGCAUUGGUGGGGGGUGGGGAGGAGGUGCAGAGGGGGGCCUCGCUGGUGCCUGUGGACAAGGCUUGGCUCGUGUCAAAGGGAAUGAAGUUGUUUUAUUAAUUUACUGUUGUGUAGACUUUUGUUCCCUUUGUGUGGAAAUUGGAGAUUGGCGGUGCUGCAACACUGUAUUCAUCCUCCUUUAGCUCCUGUGAUUGGUCAGCACACCCACGCCAAAACUUUCAAGACCUUACACAAGAACCUAUAUAUGUCUAAUGCAGAAGGAAAGUGAAAUGCAUAGUCUCCUUUUAAGUAAUCAGAGAGCAUUAACAUCGUGGGAAGUUGUCAUGUUGUUUUUCUAUUACAGUCUUUGGUGUUGAUAGGAUUAUUUUGUAAGGAGAAAAUCUUCAAGAUGAGCAGCCAGCAUGUAUUAUCACACCCCACCUUCAAGUAACAGCACAGAGCGAAAAGUCAAGGAUCAAUUCCCAGUGGUGCUCUGUGAAAAGCACAGGCAUGGGAGGAAAACACGAUGUUCAGGUUCACAGCAGCGUAAUUGCAAAAGAAGAUUUCUGACCUGUUAUCUGACCAAUUACUUUUCACAUCAUUAAAAUUAAGAAUGAAAUGUAGGCGCUCUGUGCCGGAGACGUGUUUUUAUAUUGAUAUCAGUGAUUAAA